rnacentral:SRP_RNA from 1 species
CCUGAUCCCCCGUGCGGCAUGACCGUGAUCAAUCCCCCAGGGUCGAAAGACAGCAAGGGUCGUUGCGCUCUCGUGGGUGUGCGGGGGAUCAUUUUU